rnacentral:rRNA from 1 species
GUUGGACUGUGCACGAGUCWCCUGGAAUGGAGCGUCAUAGAGGGUGAGAAUCCCGUAUAUGGCACGGACUCCCGUUGCUCUGUGAUACACUCUCGACGAGUCGAGUUGUUUGGGAAUGCAGCUCWAAAUGGGUGGUAAAUKCCAUCUAAAGCUAAAUAUUGGCGAGAGACCGAUAGCGAACAAGUACCGUGAGGGAAAGAUGAAAAGCACUUUGGAAAGAGAGUGAAACAGUACGUGAAAUUGUUGAAAGGGAAACGCUUGAAGUCAGUCGCNYYGUUCGGGAUUCAGCCUUGCUUCUGCUUGGUUUACUUCCYGUUCRAUGGGUCAACAUCAGUUUCGGUCGGAGGAGAAAGGCUUGGGGAAUGURGCWGCYYUYGGGCUGUGUUAUAGCCCYUUGUUGUAUACUUCGACUGGGACUGAGGACCGCAGCACGCCUUURG